UGUAAGCGUAUACCAAAGUUGUUGCAGUUAAAACGCUCGUAGUCGGAAUUUGGCAGUUCCGGAUGUGUGCACGUCGUGUGCGCACUUCGCGGGGAUUGCUUUUGUGGUCUUGCGUAGGAUGAGGCACUUUUAUUAGUGAACGUCCUCACGCAACCACUUUUUACUGUGAGAAAAUCAGAGUGCUCAAAGCAGGCAUUUGCCGUGAAUGUAUUAGCAUGGAAUAAUAGAAUAGGACUUGGUUCUAUUUUGUUGGUUUGUUGGGACUGAGUAAUGAUUAAGAGGGACAGUUGGGGGCAUUUGUAUUUCGGUGCUAGAGGUGAAAUUCUUAGAUUACCGAAAGACAAGCUGCUGCGAAAGCGUCCGCCAAGGAUGUUUUCAUUGA
rnacentral:rRNA from 1 species